UACAGAGGUCUCAAGCGUUGUUCGGAUUCAUUGGGCGUAAAGCGCGUGUAGGCGGCUGAGUAAGUCUGCUCUGAAAGCCCGGGGCUCAACCCCGGGAGGCGGGUGGAUACUGCUCAGCUCGAGUCCGGAAGAGGAGAGUGGAAUUCCGAGUGUAGAGGUGAAAUUCGUAGAUAUUCGGAAGAACACCAGUGGCGAAGGCGACUCACUGGACACGUAUUGACGCUGAGGUGCGAAAGCGUGGGGAGCAAACAGG
rnacentral:rRNA from 1 species